rnacentral:lncRNA from 12 species
CAAAAGCCUCUUUUCUUGCCCAUUAUGAGCACGGUGCAGUGAAUCACUGUGUUUAGCAUGGACACUUGGGAGCGUUCCAGAGGCUGCAGGGCUGUUUGUGGGGAGGCAGCAGGUCAGCGCUGAGGAGAUCUCAGGGCAUGGAAUGGAGCACAACAGAUCUCAGCUCUGCAGUGGGUGCGAUGGAGGUAAUAACAGCACCUUGGAUCACGAGGGAUUUGAGGAAAAGCUUACAAGGA